GGUUCAAGUCCCUNUAUCCCC
rnacentral:tRNA from 1 species